CUGCGAAAGCCGGAUUAAUACCGCAUACGCUCUGCGGAGGAAAGCGGGGGAUCCUUCGGGACCUCGCGCUACAGGGGCGGCCGAUGGCAGAUUAGCUAGUUGGUGGGGUAAAGGCCUACCAAGGCGACGAUCUGUAGCUGGUCUGAGAGGACGACCAGCCACACUGGGACUGAGACACGGCCCAGACUCCUACGGGAGGCAGCAGUGGGGAAUUUUGGACAAUGGGCGCAAGCCUGAUCCAGCAAUGCCGCGUGUGUGAAGAAGGCCUUCGGGUUGUAAAGCACUUUUGUCCGGAAAGAAAACCUCGUGGUUAAUACCCGUGGGGGAUGACGGUACCGGAAGAAUAAGCACCGGCUAACUACGUGCCAGCAGCCGCGGUAAUACGUAGGGUGCAAGCGUUAAUCGGAAUUACUGGGCGUAAAGCGUGCGCAGGCGGUUCGCUAAGACAGAUGUGAAAUCCCCGGGCUUAACCUGGGAACUGCAUUUGUGACUGGCGAGCUAGAGUAUGGCA
rnacentral:rRNA from 1 species